rnacentral:rRNA from 1 species
UACAGAGGGUGCAAGCGUUGUUCGGAAUUACUGGGCGUAAAGCGUGCGCAGGCGGUUUUGUAAGCCAGAUGUGAAAUCCCCGAGCUUAACUUGGGAACUGCAUUUGGGGACUGCAAGGCUAGAGUACGGCAGAGGGGGGGUAGAAUUCCUGGGUGUAGCAGUGAAAUGCGUAGAUAUCAGGAGGAAUACCGAUGGCGAAGGCAGCCCCCUGGGUCGAUACUGACGCUCAUGCACGAAAGCGUGGGGGAGCGAACAGG